AAGUCGAUCAUCAUGCCUCCCAUGUCGUGCCUCUCAUGGCACUUUGGAUAAAGCCCAUCUACUCCUGCCCAAGGUAGCAUUUCCUGGAUACCACUGACUCCAUGGACUCCCUGUGGAAAUACUAUGUGCCUGGGAUGGAUAGACAGCCUUAAUCAGGACGAUUGACCUCCGCCAACAGCCUUAGUUCAUCUUCUGCUGCUAGUAACUCAAUUGCAUAGACUUGAAAAGACCCACACACUGGAAAGCCGAGAUGACCCCUGCCUGGUCAUCGGGACUGUGCCUCCCACCUAUAGGCACGUUCUGCAUGCUCUGUGAUGAUUGCAUCCCACAAGUCUUCCCUCUAAACCUCUGCAAAUGUCCAUCCAUCAGGCCAUUUACAAAAGAAGCAACUGCAGCCACAUGCCCCAAAAGGGAGAGCAGGUUUAAAUCAGAGCAGGCCUGGAAUGUCUCUUCAGUGAGAGGACUGUGGCCUGCUUUCAUACAAGUCAAACAACAAGGGUCCCUGGUACUUGUAACGGAUGCAAGGAAGAUCGGAGGAAGGUGUCCGGGGAGGGGAGGUGGUGGGAGUCACCCACACCUCUCUCAUGUUUGUGGGUGUCAGGGCAGGGUUGGAGAGAGAGAGAGCAAUCACAGACCAUCUUUGUGGGAAUGAAGGCAGACAGCAGCAGUCACAUUAAAUGGGCCAGUGGGGGAGUAGGGCCUAAACGCUCCUCAGGAGGGCCUCAGUUCCCCAGCAAAGAAAGCUGGGGGCCUAAC